rnacentral:rRNA from 1 species
UACGUAGGGGGCGAGCGUUGUCCGGAAUCAUUGGGCGUAAAGCGCGUGUAGGCGGCUUGGUAAGUCCGGUGUGAAACCUUGGGGCUCAACCCCAAGCCUGCACUGGAUACUGCCUCGCUUGAGUCCGGGAGGGGAGAGCGGAAUUCCUAGUGUAGCGGUGAAAUGCGCAGAUAUCAGGAAGAACACCCGUGGCGAAAGCGGCUCUCUGGAACGGUACUGACGCUGAGACGCGAAAGCGUGGGGAGCGAACAGG